AACAACCGCGAACGCCGACAAGCCGAAGAGCCGAAGGGCCGAAAAGCCGAAGCGGACACCCGCGCGCGGUGAUUGGCCGGUUGGCCGGAAGAACUCUGUCUCUGAUUGGCAGGAGAGUCACGAACCGGUCAGCCCCGGGUCAGGGGCCGCAAGGGACAUCGCGAAGGGCCUCUGGCAGGCGCCGCCGGGUGGCGGCGAGACGCCUCCGCGCCUCCGGGGUUCCUUGUUCGCUGUCGGAGGAGGACCGGCUGAGGGAUGGCCUGGUGGGGAGGGAGCCCUCGGGCAGGUGGCUGCGUCGGGCCUGGGGCAGUUGUGCUGCGCUUGGAGACCUGCCCGCCCUCGGGGCCUGUGUGCACAGGGAGGAUAGGCUGUUUAUCUCUGCAGGCUCAGGAAGGCAGGCGCCCCCGGAGGCCCUCACAUCUCCCCGGUAACGCUUAGGAAUUCGGGCAGCCAGCUCGCCUACCCCUGGGGAAUCGAGGCAGAGCUUCUGGGAAUGGGGUCUGAGGGAAGAGUGCUCACCAGGCAGUGACAUGUAGCCGUUGAGGAUCGCCACUGCCUUCUCGUUCUGUGGAAAAUGAGAAUGUUUUGGAAAAUUUUAAAUUACGUGGCUUCCAUUAUAUUUCUAUGGAUACUGCUGUUCUAGAGAGUAAAAAAAUCUCACUGAAGAAGAGUAGGCCUUUCGUUUAGCAACUGUGAAGAAAACCAACCACGCUGCACCUCUCAGGUCUGUAGUCAGAAGUCCAACAUGGUUCUCAAUGGCCUAAAAUCAAGGUGUCCACAGGAUUGUGUUCCUUUCUAGAGAGGAAGCUGCAGUGUGGUAAACUGCCUUUGAAAGAGACCCACAUGUCAAGAAACUGAGCAUCACCUGUGACCAACAGCCAGAAAGUAACUGAAGCCCCAAGACGAACAGCUUGUGCAAAACUAAAUUCUGCCUACAACAAGAGCAUGAAUUGAGACGCAGAUCCUUCCCUAGUUGAUCCUUGAAAUGCUUGCAGCUCUAUGGACACCUUGAUUGCAGCCUUGUGAGAAAUUCUGAACUAGAGGACCUCGUAUGCCUUACCCAUAGGUCUUACAAGAUAAUACGUGUUUUUCAAAAAAGU
rnacentral:lncRNA from 10 species